ensembl:lncRNA
AGCAAAUACUGAUUUUAAUUACAGUUAAGUUGACAAAUAACACAGAGAAACAACUCUGGUAAAUGAGCAAAAUUGAACAACAUCUACUAAUCAUGAUUUAUAUUUUACCCUCUGACAACCUGAGGGUGGUGCGGUCUGCCCAACUCAUCACGGGGGGCAAAGUACCUGCCCUCCAGGACACCUACACCACCCGAUGUCACAGGAAGGCCAAAACGAUCAUCAAGGACUUCAACCACCCGAGCCACUGCCUGUUCACCCCGCUAUCAUCCAGAAGGCGAGGACCUGAGCCCUAGGACCAUACCUCAGGAAUACCUGGCAUGAUGACUCCUUGCUGUCCCCAGUCCACCUGGCCGUGCUGCUGCUCCAGUUUCAACUGUUCUGUCUGCCGCUAUGGAAUCCUGACCUGUUCACCAGACGUGCUAGCUGUCCCAGACCUGCUGUUUUCAAAUCUCUAGAGACAGC